rnacentral:rRNA from 1 species
UACGUAGGGUGCGAGCGUUGUCCGGAAUUAUUGGGCGUAAAGAGCUUGUAGGCGGUUUGUCGCGUCUGCUGUGAAAUCUCAAGGCUCAACCUUGAGCUUGCAGUGGGUACGGGCAGACUAGAGUGUGGUAGGGGAGACUGGAAUUCCUGGUGUAGCGGUGAAAUGCGCAGAUAUCAGGAGGAACACCGGUGGGCGAAGGC